UAGGGAAUCUUCGGCAAUGGACGGAAGUCUGACCGAGCAACGCCGCGUGAGUGAAGAAGGUUUUCGGAUCGUAAAGCUCUGUUGUUAGAGAAGAACGUUGGUAGGAGUGGAAAAUCUACCAAGUGACGGUAACUAACCAGAAAGGGACGGCUAACUACGUGCCAGCAGCCGCGGUAAUACGUAGGUCCCGAGCGUUGUCCGGAUUUAUUGGGCGUAAAGCGAGCGCAGGCGGUUCUUUAAGUCUGAAGUUAAAGGCAGUGGCUUAACCAUUGUACGCUUUGGAAACCGGAGGACUUGAGUGCCAAAGGGGAGGGUGGAAAUUCAUGUGUAGCCGUUAAAUGCGUAGAUAUAAUGGAGAACACCGGGUGCGAAAGCGGCUCUCUGGGCUGUAACUGGCGCUGAAGGUUGAAAACGUGGGGAGCAAACAGG
rnacentral:rRNA from 1 species